rnacentral:rRNA from 1 species
GUGGGGAAUAUUGGACAAUGGGCGCAAGCCUGAUCCAGCCAUGCCGCGUGAGUGAUGAAGGCCUUAGGGUUGUAAAGCUCUUUCAGUAGGGAAGAUAAUGACGGUACCUACAGAAGAAGCCCCGGCUAACUUCGUGCCAGCAGCCGCGGUAAUACGAAGGGGGCUAGCGUUGUUCGGAUUUACUGGGCGUAAAGCGCACGUAGGCGGAUUGGUCAGUUAGAGUUGAAAUCCUGGAGCUCAACUCCAGAACUGCCUUUAAUACUGCCAGUCUAGAGUCCAGAAGAGGUGAGUGGAACUCCUAGUGUAGAGGUGGAAUUCGUAGAUAUUAGGAAGAACACCAGUGGCGAAGGCGGCUCACUGGUCUGGUACUGACGCUGAGGUGCGAAAGCGUGGGGAGCAAACAGGAUUAGAAACCCUAGUAGUCC